rnacentral:rRNA from 1 species
CCUGAACGCUGGCGGCGUGGUUAAGACAUGCAAGUCGCACGGUCUGCAGCAAUGCAGAUAGUGGCGAACGGGUGAGUAAUGUAUCGCUAACGUACCCCAGGGUCUGGGAUAGCAGCUCGAAAGGGCUGGUAAUACCAGAUGAGACCACGGAGUCGCAUGGCUCUGUGCUCAAAGGCGUAAGACGCCCUGGGAGCGGGCGAUAUCGUAUCAGCUAGUUGGUGAGGUAACGGCUUACCAAGGCGACGACGCGUAGCCGGACUGAGAGGUCGGUCGGCCACAUCGGGACUGAGACACUGCCCGGACUCCUACGGGUGGCAG